rnacentral:lncRNA from 1 species
GUUUGUCUCCUCCUGCAGCUCCGACUCAACCUCCGACAGUCUCUACAGGCCGUCUUUCACCCACUCAGACUCAGUCCUCCAGCGGGACUCUUUCUCCACCACCCCAUCCUCCAAUGAGAGCGAGUUCUCGUCACAGGUACCCUAGUCGAACUAGGCGUGCCACCUCCUCAUCAGCUGGUAAGAAAAUUGAUUGAAGUUCAGUUUUUUUGUUUUGUUUUGUUUUUAAUGUUCAGAACUAUAAAAUAAAGUGGUUUUUUUUUCAGUUGCAGAUGACAUGAUUGACUCAAAUAGUGUUGAAAAUGGCUCUGGU